rnacentral:lncRNA from 1 species
AGGAAAUCACAUUUAGAAUCAACUCGGAUUUUUAAAGGAGUUUCAAACUGUAAUAAGAAAGUUCAACAUAGCUCUCAGAUAGCCACUCUGUAGAUCAAAAAAACAUAAAGCAUCUUAAGUUACCAAACGAUAACAUUGGAAGGUUACGGUUUGACCUAUCUCAAAUGUAGAGGUGACAUUAAAUGGCCACAACUUUCAGUCGCUAGUUGGAAGCAAAGUCAUCUCAUCAGUGACUAAUCGGUUAGCAGAACUUCUGAAGAGAAAUGGAAGCAGAGUCACUAGCGCCUUCGCGCACCCCACAGUGAGAUCCCUGGCGAUUCACCUGGAAAUGGGGUCAGAAAGCUCAUGUCGCACUGCACCUGGGAAUUGGAGUACAGUUCCUCAAUGUAAAGAAGAUGCAUCACAAAAUUGAUAUUAUUGAGUAUUGACUUAGAUUUGACGUGUUCUAUUUGAUGAAACAUAUGAGAAAGUAUAUUGUGUCCAAGAAUCAACAGGAAAACAGUAAGAGAAACAUCUAAUACAAUCUGCAACUAGGUAGUACUCCUACAAACCAUGCUGGCUGAGUAAUAGCUAAUCUGCAACUACAUAGUACUCCUACAAACGCAAGCAACCGUCUCACCUUCACUGACAACUGCGGAGUCUGCUUGAAGUUGGAACUGCGGUUCAAGUCUCAGAAGCAACAUAGUUGG